UUGUUUUUCCCUUCAAACAUUCAUCUCGCGCCUAACAUGGGGUCUCGGCAGGACCAGCCCGCCGUCAACGGGGAGCAAGGUAACGGCGCGGGCGCAGCCUACGUGCGGUACAGGGAGUGCCAGCGCAACCAUGCCAUCGGAAUCGGCCGGUAUGCCGUCGACGGCUGCCAAGAGUUCACGGUGUUAAUGGGCGUCGAUGAGGCUGCCAUGCUCCUCUGCGCGGCGUGUGGCUGUCACCGCAACUUCCACAGGCGCGAGGUCGUCAACGAGUUCGGCGUCGACUACCAUGCUCCCCGGACGCCCCCCGCCGACGAAAAUCGCCGUUGAAGCCAUGAAGCUUGCUGCUGCUGCCUCUUCUUGCUCAUCGUGAAUUGGAUCUAGCUGGAUCAUGCAUGGCCAGGGCACGGCUGGUAGUAUUUUAUUUCAUCUUCUUUGUCAUCUUAUGAAAUUUGUGUGGAUGAAUAAUUCGCGGGGGAUGUCCCGUCAGCGUAGAUCGAUCGAUGUGAUGAACCUCUUCUAUGAAUUCGAAUUUGAUUUCCCUUGUGCCUUUUUACUUGAUGAGAUUUGUUCUUCACUACAGUAACUUUCCAGACUCUGAAAGUAAUUAAUUUAUAGUUACUCUCGUUUGUUUUAAUCAAACCGAUUUCGGUGCAAUGUCACCAGAUCACCACAUCGAGGAACGACCUUUUCUCUUUGGGAUAUAUAUCAAUCUGCUGUUUCUCCAAGCUACUCGCAUCGUCGCGCACGUACGCUCCUCAGUCUCCUGAUUACAAUUAAGUUGGACCAUAUUAUGCGCGCAGGGCGGCUUGUUGAUUAAUCAUGUUCUAGCAAGUUGAAACCAACCUCAUUGUGUGUUACCGCGAGACUAGUGCUGUAAGAAUUUACUCCCUCCAUCCUAUAAUAUAAAAACGUUUUUGUAAAAUAGUGAGUAUUUAUUUUGGGUGAACGCCGCAAACUUUUCCUCUUUUGAUUGGAAGAGUGGACGCCGCAAGUAGAAGUUUAUCACAAGGGAUUAGGGAGGGAAGCUGAGCUCCGGUCCAAAGCCCGGCCACGUGCUCCCAAGUCCUGGCCGGCUAGUUUCCACAAGGCAAUGGCAAGGAUGCCAGCAGCACGCAUUUUGUUGGUUUCUGGAUAUUCCAUGAAUAAUUUUGUUUGUUUCUAGAUAUUUCCUGUUCGCUAGUUUUCGUCCUUCUUUUAGUAUAUUCUGAUGUGUGUUCGGGCUUUUCAGUUGUUUUUUGUCGAUUUUUUUAUUUUUAUUUUUCGUUUCUUGUUUUCAUUUUUAUUAUGUAUUUUAAAAAAAAUUACUUUUUGAUUUAAAAAUUAAACGAAUAUGUUUCAUAUAUAUAAUGAUUUUAAUACAUGAUAAAUUUUUAAGUAAACUAUAAACAACUUUAAGCACAUGAUGAACAUUCUUGUAAAUACAUGAUAAACAAUUUUCUAAUGCGUGAUAAACAUUUUAAGAAACAAGAUGAACCAUUUUUUAUGAGCAUGGUGAACUGCAUUCAAUAAAUGACGAAAAUUGUCUAAUAAGUGACAACACUUUUUUCUAUGAAAAAGAUAAUGUCCACACAUGUGGGCGUUUGCAUCUUGCCCACACGCAUGGAUCAACGUCCGUUUGUGUUUGUAUGAAUCUUGACAUGUUUGUUAGAUUUUUUAUGCCACGUAAGAUUGGACUGGUGUGUGGGCAUUCAUCCGGUCGCCGACACGUCCGUUCCACCACGCGGAGGGGCUGGUGUGUGGGCAUUUAGCAGUUCGCCCACACGCCAGUUUUCACGCACGUGGAGGGGCUGGAGUGUGGGCGUUUAUCAGUUCGCCCACACGCCUGUCUCCUCUCCCACACCCAAAGCUAUCAGUUGCCAUGUAUUUUGCAGGGUACAUGGCAACUGCCCUAGUGUGCUUGUAAGCAGAUGGCAACUCUCUCUUUACCCGAACAUGUUAUUUUGCCAUGUCUUUUUAUAGUGCUACAUGGCAACAGCCUAGUUUUAGUAGGUUAAACUCCUAAAGAUACCACCACCCCCACACGCCCAUCUCCACUCCCACACCCAAAGUUGUCAUUUUCCAUGUGUUUUGCAGGGUACAUGGCAACUGCCCUAGUAUGCUUGUAAGCAGAUGGCAACUCUCUCUUUACCCGAACAUGUUAUUUUGUCAUGUCUUUUUGUAGUGCUACAUGGCAACUGCCUAGUGUUAGUAGGUGGCAACUCCUAAAAUUUUUAAACCAUGGCAACUGUAGUAGACCAGACCAUACAUGGCAACAACUGUAGUUGUUCAAAAAUGGCAUCUAACACUUGACCUGAGAUGGCAACUGCAGUUGAGCAACCAUUGCAACUUAGUUGUCAGACAUAGCAACUGCAGUUCAGCAACAUGGCAACUGCAGUUAAACGAACAUGGAAGAGGGUCCGGACCAUGGCAACUAUGCGGACGCGUGGUGACUGUCACGCGGGACGUGCGUGACCGUGAGGUAGGAGGUCGGACGUACGGGCGUGUGGGCGUUAUCUAUUUUGCCCACACGUAGGCGUGUGGGAAGGACCGCGAGGCAAAAGACCGGGCAUGUGGGCAUUACUUAUUUUACCCACACGUAGAUGUGUGGACCGGUUCUCUUAAAUACCACACGAAACGUGUGGUCAGACCCCUUAAGGCCCACACGUGUGAGCGUUAUCGAAACCUUUUUUCUAUUGCAAUGUGUAAUUAAAAAUUGCCCACUACGUAUUUAAACAGCAGCCUCACUGAUUACUGGGAUUUUUUUCCUAUGCUGUUGUCCGGUGUUGUCGCACAUAGGCGAAUUUCCUCAUAUUUCAACAGGAGCCUCACUGAGCCCGAGACAGAUUCUUUCCCCGCUCCAUGCACAAUAUCAUCCCUCAUAAACCAAGAGCGCCAGAUCAUGAGCAGAAUUUUCGUCCGGAUCUCCUCGGUACAUGUGUUAAGGAGGACUUGUAACCAAACAUUGCCUGUGAACCAGAAGGCUUCUUCCUUUGGCAGAUUCAGUGAACUCGCAGUUCCUUCCACAGUGCUCUGCUCUUGGUGCAAGAAAUGACAGCAGGGUCCUCAUUUUCCUCGGCAUUCCCGCGGAUGUCACACAUGUUGUCCGUAGUAAUCGUUCAUUUACACUUGUUUUGUGGCCAGCGAAUUGGUGGCUACCCUCCAUCUUUUCUUUUAAUUUUCUCUGGGAUCUUGGGCUUUCCAAAUGAGAUGUCAAGUGCUCCGCUCAUCGUAAGUUGCAGUGGAUGAAGAGGUAUUGGUACUCCCUGAGCCAAGGUCAUUCAAUUUGUAGGCACUCUUCACAGUGAACACCCCUGUCUUUUCAUAGUGCCAAGGCACGCAAUCUUUCAUUUCCCUAGCCGGUAUUCUGAUCUUGCAUAUUUUCUCUGUUGGCCCAGUCCACGUUGCCAAGCACUUUUCGACGACACACGAUGACCGACAACGAACGACGAUAAGAUGACGCUGGUGAUUUCGCUCCCAAUCAACCUCGCUGCUGGCCGAUACAAUAUACACGGCAAAAGAAACACACCUGGUUGAUUUAUUCGGCGAAACACUCACGUGCGUACCUACUAGCUAGCGACCAAUCGACUUGAUCGAUUCUGGUAUUUGCAAGUCACGCACGCACGCAAAUACUUGAAUUGAUAGCCACGGGCACGUCUCAUGCCUAGUGAUUACUUUAUUGCUUAUCCAACUUACGGUAUGAUUUACAAGCCGGGUACACAUGUAUAUAGAUUUUUCAAGAAGCGAGCACACAAACGGUUGGCGCUUCAGACGCCCAUUACUGUGCAUUUUGCAAACAGCGCGGGCAACAUGAAUCAAACCCCCAACCCGAGUGUUCCAAGACAAUAGUAGUGACCACUAGGCUAGCCCGCCGGCUUCGUUUAUCCUCGCUUUUGUCUACAAUUUAUUACCUUCCUCGGUUUUCCUAGGACGCACGUUUUUAUUUGUUUUUUCUUUUUCUUUUUUCUUGUUAAUUUUUUUGUUUUCUGAAAUGCAUCAUUUUUCCCAAAACUCUUGGAACUUUUUUCAAAUUCGAUGAUUUUUUCAUAAAAGAUGAUGAACUUUUCUUUUCAAAUUUGAUCUUUUUAAAAUCAAUGAACUUUUUCCAAAUUCAGUUAAUGUUUUUCAAAAUUGAUGAUUUCUUUUCGAAUUUGAUGAAUUUUUUUCCAAAUUCGGUGAACUUUUUCCUAAUUCAUGAUUUUUUUUCAAAAGCGAUGAUUUUUUAAUUUAAUAAACUUUUUUUAAAUUCAUGAACGUUUUUCAAAAUUUGAUGAACUAUUUUUCAUAACAAAUCAACUUGUCCUAAUGAUUCAAAAAUCUAAGUGCUAGUGCUUAGUGCGCAUUCCUUUCGUGGGCCGGCCCACUAGGCACUAGCGGGCGCCGGUUGGCUUCUGCGGCGCUUAAAGCGCUCAAUAGGAGCCCCCGAUUCUCCUACAGAGGGAAAGGAAAUCCAAAAGAAGUUUGUGGAGCAGUGUGAGCCGAAAAAGUAGUGAAGCGGUAGGCGCCUUAUCCCCCUGCGCGUAGCAAGACAGACACUGGUGGGCUCUGGCUGCAGGGCAGCAAGCAAUGGCUUCCGUCGCCUUUUUCUCGCUGCUGCUUCUCUCCGCCGCCGUAGCUCCUCCGGCUCUUGGCUUCACGCGGAGCGACUUCCCGCCGGACUUCGUCUUCGGCGCCGCCACCUCCGCGUACCAGGUAGUAACUGGAUAUUGGUUUGGCUUUAUCAGCUAGCAUUGGUCUCUUACAAGUUUCACUCUCUUUCUCGGUGCCCCUGCUCUGUUUAAUUUGCUCUGUUUUUUAAUGCAAUACGAGGGGGCUGUUGCUGAGGAUGGCAGGAGCCCAAGCAUCUGGGACACCUUCACUCAUGCAUGUAAGAGCAACUUCAAUGGGGCGACCCAUUUCAUCCGCGGCCGUUCGUUUGGGUCGGCGUGGACAGAAAAGGCGGCCCAACGCGCCGACUCAAACGGACGCACGUCCGUUUUUCGUCCGCGGGCGACCCAUUCCCGGCCCAUUUUUGAUCCUGAUUUGCGUCGGCGCGGACACGUGACGGACGUGCGCGCGGUCGCCUACUCCUGUCCCUGGGCCCGCUGGUCUGUGACACAUUGGCCUCCCUCCCCCAGGCCAACAAGCAACCCUCGCCCCCCGCCUCCUCCGCCACCGACGCCGCCGCCCAUUUUUGCGGCGACUCUUCCAGCUGCCGCCGCCUCCACAUCCGCCCAGCAACGCCGCCCCUGCCCCCAGUCGCCCGCCGCCGCCGUUUUACCGCCGGGGAGCAAACUGGUUCCCGCCGCCGCUUCCCCCACUGCACAGACGCCCGCGACCAAGAAGACGCCUCGCCACCCCCGCCACAUACGACCGGCACGCUUGUCGGAUGCUGUCACACUCGUCGGACGCCGGCAGGGCAGCUAGCUGGUCUGUGCGCGCCGCGUCUCCCCUCGCCGGCCGUCUCCUUCUUCGACGCCCGCAAGCUGUUCGACAGUUUGCCAAGGUACGAAAAUGGACUCCACCGACGAGUUCUUUUUCCACAAUUUCAUUUGCGACUCCGACGAUUCGUCGUCCGACGACGAGGAGGAGAUAUUGGCUGCCGUGUUGGUCCAUCACCACCUCAACAACCAGCGGCCGCUGUUCCGUGGCUCCGUUCCGGGCCACCUUCCGGCGCUGAAUCGUAACCGAGAGAGUGGGCAUUUCCUUCUCUGGAAGGACUACUUUGAUACAACAAACCCGUUGUUCAAACAUCACAAAUUCCGUCGCCGGUUCCGUACGAGUAGGCAUGUUUUCAACCGUAUUAGAGAGGGAGUGGUCGGCUAUGAUGACUACUUCGAGUGCAAAGAGGAUGCCGUCGGCAAGAUUGGUUUCUCCUCUUAUCAGAAAUGCACUGCCGCCAUCCGAGUGCUUGCAUACGGAGUGCCCGGUGAUCUCAUUGACGAGUACGUCCGUACGAGCGAGUCUACAUGCCUAGAGUCACUGUAUAAGUUCUGCAAGGCUGUGAUUGUUGUGUUUGGCCCUGAGUACUUGAGAGAGCCGACAGCUGCAGAUACAGCCCGUUUGUUGGCGAUGAAUGCUAGCAGGGACUUUCCGGGGAUGCUUGGCAGCAUAGACUGCAUGCACUGGGAGUGGAAGAACUGCCCUUCUGCUUGGCAAGGGCAGUAUAAGGGACAUGUCAGGGCUUGCACUGUCAUACUAGAGGCCGUGGCGUCUCAAGAUCUCUGGAUCUGGCACUCUUUCUUUGGCAUGGCUGGAUCACACAAUGAUAUCAACGUGCUUCAGCGCUCGCCGGUGUUUGCUAGGCUUGCCGAAGGCAACAGCCCACCGGUGAACUUUACUGUCAACGGCCACAACUACGACAAAUGGUACUAUUUGGGUGACGGUAUCUAUCCUCAGUGGACCACUAUUGUAAAGACAAUACCUAACCCUGUUGGAGAGAAAAGGAAAAGAUUUGCCCAAGAGCAAGAGAGUGCUAAAAAGGAUGUCGAGCGUGCCUUUGGUGUUUUGCAAUCUCGAUGGGGCAUCGUUCGGUAUCCUGCUAAUAGUUGGAGCACGCAGAAACUAUGGGAGGUGAUGACUGCUUGUGUGAUCAUGCACAAUAUGAUCGUAGAAGACGAGCGCCCGGAACGUCUGUACGAUCAAGGCUUUCAGUUUCAGGGUGAGAAUGUUGUGCCUGAGCAUGGAGUAGCGGCAACAUUUGAGCAGUUCACUCAGUUUUAUGAAGACAUGCGUGAUUGGGAAACUCACGUGCAACUACAAAAUGAUUUGGUUGAGCAUAUGUGGACUCAUGUUGGCAACCAAUAGAUGUAUCUUCUUUUAUUCGUUUGCAAAACUAUGUGAAACAUUUUUAUUUUUAUUUGGCCUGUAAACUAUACUAUUUAUUUGGGCGGACUAUUUUGUUUGCUAAAUUUUCAUUUCACAAUAUGUUGAAUGCAAUGCAAAAUUGGGCGACCAGCCGGCCACGCCUGCACAUAUGGGUCGGCGCGUUGGGCGCGCUGCCGUCCCGUAUGAAAAACAGGGCGGACGCCGCGCGGGCGGCCGACCCAAACGGACAAAAAGCGGACGAAAUCGCCGUCCGUUUGGGUCGGCCCGUUGGAGUUGCUCUAACUAACCAAUUAACCUGUCAGGUUCGUGCUGAUUUGGGACUAAGAUAAAAAUGUGCUGAUUUGGUGUUUGAUUUUUCUUGUUCUGACGACAGGGAAAAUGGCGGAUAAAAGCGUAGGUGAUGGUACCACAAGUACAAGGUACUGGUCAUUUUUGGGGGUAGACUGAUCUGCCCUGCUGAUUGUAGUGAUAUUAGGCAUGGAUGUAGUAGUACUAUGCUGUCGUCUGCUAGUGACUGAACCUACAAAGCUCUCUUCUCUGCCAGAAACAAAAUAAAAUUUAUUCUUGCAUCUAGGAGUAUCUAUCAUAUUAUUAUUUUUGCUGUGUUGAAGUGUUGUGAUUUCCACACUGUAUAUUUGAACAUUCUGUUUUAACCAGACAUGAUCUGAUGUUUCAGGAUGAUGUGAAGUCAUGGUUGACAUGAACCUAUAGGCUUACAGAUUUUCCAUCUCCUGGUCAAGGCUUAUCCCAGGUAAAAGUACUUCUCAUUAUAUUUCCAGUGCAUUAUUACUAGAAAACCACAAAAUUUAACUGAUUGUUGGUUUGUAACGAGAUUUGCAGAUGGCAGGGGAGCUGUCAAUCCAAAAGGGCUCGAGUACUACAACAACCUCAUAGAUGCGCUAGUGCAACAUGGUACGUUUAUUUUCCGUAGUAUAUAUAUGGAGUGUACUGGCAAAACAGAUCUAUAUGUCAGUAUCCUAGUAAAUGAUCAACACUGAUAGAAAAAAUGCAGAAACUAUUUCCCCUUGUCUCCAUUCGGCUGCUCGACAGGACGUGGCGUGUGAUGCGGAUACAUGCGAAGGUUGGCAGAAGGUGCUCCCGCGGCGCGAUGUGCAACGUCAGGCAUCACUAGCCCCUGCUUUGGCUCCCCGUCCCGUCCCCGCUUGGCUUUAUGGUAGAUGUUGUAGAUGUCUCUUUCCUAGACACCGUGCAACAGAUUGUGGAGAUCCUUUUAGAUGUUAUCGGUGCCUUGAGAACGGUCAUCGAGCGUGUGAGUGCCGCAAUGCCUGGCGUCCCCUCAGCUCCUUGGGAAGAGCUACUAUGUCGCCAUUGCCCCGCCUCCCCGUCGAGCACCCACAAGCUCCAUCUCCAUACAAGGUCCAGAAAGAAGCCUCGCCCCUCUCGAAGAUAUUUUGUUGUGAUUCUUGGGCAUCGAUUGUUUCUGCUCCUGCUGGCUCAUUGGCCCCGGCGGAUAUCUCGAUGCGGCCUACUUUGGAGAGGCAGGCCGAGCUGCUGCGCUCUGAGCUCCUUGGUAUGGCUUCCUUUCAGCUUGAGAAAACGGUCCAGCCUCUGCGUGAUGUCAUUGACUUUAAGAAAGGUUGGAUGUUGCGGAUGGAAAGCUUCAUGGAGCGAGCUGAGGCUGCAAUGGGCGGGCUCUCCCUGACGCCGCCUGUGUUGCAGACUACUCAUGUGUUGCGCCCUUUGGUUGUGCCCGAUGGCAGCUUCGACGCUGAGAAGGGAGACGAGCUUCAUGGUCGUUUCUCCCCUCAUGCUAGGGCCAGCUCACCGCCAUUAGCCUCUGAGGGACUUGACAAUGAUGUGGUUGUGACUCCGGUGCUACAGAUCAUGCCCGAGCUUCGGGAGUUGUGUGGGGGCCCAGUUUUGCCUUUGUGCGUCGAGCAACUGCAGGUAGACCCUCCCGAGAUCUCGAGUGUGGCUUUGCCACCAACAUCACCCCUGGAGUUGAGCUAGAUAGUUGAUGCUGAGGAGAGUAGUGAUUUGGACGGUGGGAUCUCUCGCUCGCCCAAGUCCAUUGGACGUCAGGCGUUAGCCAUCGAGCGCGGAGUUUCAGAUGUUGUUGCCCUUCCCUCAUCUGCGACCAUCAAGCAGGUGAUGCCUGUGAGUGGCAUGACCACUGAGCCAAGUGUGUUGACACCUACUCCAACACCAAAUCCAAAUGCUCUCUUCGCGAAGGAACUUUGUGACUUGCUCUUUAGUGUGGAGGUUGCUAGACCUGGUUUGGACAGGUCGAUUGCUUGCCUCCUGACGGGGACGCCAAUAAGAGGCAAACAAAAGAAGAUGGGCAAAGGCAAGAGUGGUGUCAUAGGCAAGGCGUCUCUGGUUGCUUGAUGGAUGAUCUUCGGUCUCUCGGCCUGUCCUCUUGGACUGGGAGGUGCAUGAUGUCUUGUGUCGUGGUGUUCUUGCUGGGAUUCACUUGGCGUAGUAGCAGUGUCAGGGUUUGUGGAUGUUGUGCAUUCAGUGAGUUUGGCAAGGGCCAACUGUGCGGUUGGGGGUUUUCUUGUCAUGUGAGUAGUUAGUCCGUGCUCUAUUUGUGUAGGUCUUCGCCCGGUUUUUCUUAAAUUAACUGGGCAAUUCUCUUCUUCUUAAUUAAUCGAUGAGGCAAACUUUUUGCCUCCGUUUCGAAAAAAAAUUAUGCUCUCCAAACUUAUAUGUGUCCGCCGUGUUUCCCCAGGGAUUCAAGUCCAUAUUAUGAUUUACCAGCUUGAUUACCCUCAAAUGCUGGAAGAUGAGUAUGGAGGAUGGCUAAGCCCUAGAAUUGUGUAAGAUCCCACAAUAUCUCCCUUGUAGUGAUGAAAUGGCUCAAAAAAAUCUUAAAAUUUUAAGAGGGUUCCUACUUUGCUUGUACUAUUUCCUCACAGGUAGUAUUGCAAAAUGCAGGGAUGAUUUCACAGCAUUCGCAGAUAUUUGCUUCAAAGAGUUUGGAGACAGGAUCUCGUACUGGACUACAAUAGAUGAACCUAACAUAGGUGCGACCGGAUCUUACGAUGGCGGAUCGAUUGCACCCGGACAUUGCUCCGACCCGUUUGGAGUUACAAAAUGUACGGUGGGUGACUCUACAGUGGAACCAUAUAUAGCAGCUCAUAAUAUGCUAUUGGCGCAUGCAUCAGCCAGUAGGCUUUACAGACAAAAAUAUCAAGUGAGUAAUGUUGAACCCAAAAUUAGAAUCAGUGAUUUUCUCCGAUAGUAAGCUAGUAGUAAGAUUGAUGUUGCUGUCUAAGAUAAAUUCAAAACAUCAGUAUUCUCUUCCUAUACAUUCUUUAAAAAGAAAUUUCUUUUAAUGCGAAAGUAUUGUCUGACCACAUGAUAUUUUUUGGGUAGGUCACUAUCAAUUAACAGUUUAUUGGCAUAUGAUUACAUGUUUGGAUUUUCCAACAUAAGAUCCGAUUAACUGCACAAAUACAACAUUUUUCCUCAUGAUGUAUAUUCAUAUGAAAAGAUUUAUUUGUCCAUAAAAAGGAGUUUUGCAUGUAGGCCAUGCAAAAGGGGGUUAUCGGCCUAAGUAUUUACUCCCUUUGGCCUUAUCCUAUGACAAACUCUACGGAGGAUUUAGAAGCAACAAACAGAUGUUUGGACUUCUUUUUGGGAUGGUAUGUUAUCUUUACUCUGGCUUUGCUCCAGGAAUGCAGAACUAACCGACCUGUGGUUCCUUUUAGGAUACUAGAGCCCUUGAUAUCUGGAGAUUAUCCGGAAAGAAUGAAGAAAAUUGUUGGCUCUCGUCUUCCAUCCUUCACUAAUAUCCAGUCUGAAGCUAUAAUUGGUAGUGCAGAUUUCAUUGGGAUAAAUCACUACUAUUCUGUCUUCGUGAAUGAUCGUCCUUUAGACAAAGGCACUCGUGACUAUACAGCCGACUUGUCAAUUAUCUACAAAGGCAAGCAUCAUUGUUUUACUGUUCAUAAGUUUUUGUAGCAGCGGUAGUGAGCAAUGUGUUCCAUUUGUUUACUAACAGCAUAGUGAUGCAAACCGAUUGUUCAAAUUGUCAUAUAAACGGACUUAAAUUGAUUACACUUUUGAAGCAGAUUUACAACUCUGAGAUAUUUUAUCCAAAUGAUACAUCUAACGAAAUAUAUGUUUCAUUAGUUCAGCUUCUAAAACAGACCCGCCAGCCGGUAAGGUAAAGUUUUUCAUCAAUAUGUUUGUCAGAUACUAGACUGGAUUCAGCUAUUUUGUACAUGAAACAUCUACUAUGAAAUUCUAACCCAACACAAGAUACUAAAAAAAAAA
rnacentral:lncRNA from 1 species